rnacentral:sRNA from 1 species
AAAAUAUUAAGGCCUAAUUUCGAUUUCGAAAACGGGGGAACCGAUUUUUUUGGGGUGAAUUUCGCGCGAUUGUGGCGGCAGCCGGUAUGGCUGCCUUGGUCGGGCGAUUAGGGCAACUGUGCAUGCCCGAAUCCGUCAGCUAACCUCGUAGGCCUCCUGCAACAGGAACC